rnacentral:rRNA from 1 species
AGCGGCGGAUGGGUGAGUAACACGUGGGGAACCUGCCCCUAAGUCUGGGAUGCCAUUUGGAAACAGGUGCUAAUACCGGAUAAUAAAGCAGAUCGCAUGAUCAGCUUUUGAAAGGCGGCGUAAGCUGUCGCUAAGGGAUGGCCCCGCGGUGCAUUAGCUAGUUGGUAAGGUAACGGCUUACCAAGGCGACGAUGCAUAGCCGAGUUGAGAGACUGAUCGGCCGCAUUGGGACUGAGACACGGCCCAAACUCCUACGGGAGGCAGCAGUAGGGAAUCUUCCACAAUGGACGCAAGUCUGAUGGAGCAACGCCGCGUGAGUGAAGAAGGUUUUCGGAUCGUAAAGCUCUGUUGUUGGUGAAGAAGGAUAGAGGUAGUAACUGGCCUUUAUUUGACGGUAAUCAACCAGAAAGUCACGGCUAACUACGUGCCAGCAGCCGCGGUAAUACGUAGGUGGCAAGCGUUGUCCGGAUUUAUUGGGCGUAAAGCGAGCGCAGGCGGAAAAAUAAGUCUAAUGUGAAAGCCCUCGGCUUAACCGAGGAACUGCAUCGGAAACUGUUUUUCUUGAGCGCAGAAGAGGAGAGUGGAACUCCAUGUGUAGCGGUGGAAUGCGUAGAUAUAUGGAAGAACACCAGUGGCGAAGGCGGCUCUCUGGUCUGCAACUGACGCUGAGGCUCGAAAGCAUGGGUAGCGAACAGGAUUAGAUACCCUGGUAGUCCAUGCCGUAAACGAUGAGUGCUAAGUGU